rnacentral:lncRNA from 1 species
AAGUUGCACAACAAAGUCGAAUGGAGGCCAAGCGUCUUCAAUCGAAAUGGAUCGCCUGUAAGUAUAUUUAUUUUCACGCACUGUCCAAAGGGCGAUCCAGUGAUGAUAUAUGGACACUGAAGAAACCACAGCUAAGCUCGCCAGAAGUGCCUAAGCACAUAUAUUGGAAUCAAGGCUAAUGGCAGAGUUUCACUUUCUGACGCAAGGAAAAGAAAAGCGCUACGUGUGAUUUAGACAAAAGGGAGUUAGGACAUUUGUGUCAUGUUGCACUUGAAACUGCCUAGUCUACAUUGUGUCCUUUGGUGAAGUCAGAGACACUGUGAAGAAUGAUUGUGGCAUCAAGAUACACCUUUUUCUCAGCUGCUAGGAUGCUGUGUGAAGAGGAGGGGUAAGUAUACGACCAGAAGGACAAACUCAUCUGAUGAGGUGCUCUGCUUUCUGUGAUCUUCUUGGCUGAGAUAUGGUAAAUGCAAUUACUCUAAAGACUAGGAAAGUGGAAGGAAGACACUGAACUUCAAAUUUACCAAGUAAGUUGAGAAGAAUUCCAGAGCCACACAGCAUACUGCAGUGUCAGCAAGAAAGAUCUCAUGGGUUCCAUGUGGACAUGAUGGACAUGUUAAGUUUGACUAGUUGAUGAGAGAAAAAAAAGGGAAUAGGAACACUUUUGCACCUACCCACAUUACUUUCAAAACAACUGAGAUUAGUUACAGGGCAGUGGCAACUUCACACUUUUAUUGAUGGAUUCUGAAGACCAUUACCAGAUGUAUAAUAAUCAAAUAUCAUCAGAAAUGAAGGGCACGUUAAUUAUUCCAAAGAGUGAAAGUAGUACAAAUCAAAGGAAAAUAUUUUGAUGGUAAUCAAUAUGAGCUCACUCAGAGGUCACUCGCAGGGGCCAGUCUUAACAGAAUUGACAAGGUUAUCAUCCCUGUGCUUGGCUUUAUUAAGACAUGUCAUGUAGGUGGUGAUGGAGUUAACUUUUGGAUAAUAUAUAAGGAAUUAUCUGAAUCAAUCAUCUGCUGCUAAUGUUAUACAUUCAUUAGUCACUUCUAGGCUGGGAUGUCCAGAUGAUAGGAUUAAAAGAUAACAAUGCAUCCAGAAUAUUUCAGAACAGCUUUUCAUGUAACAGCCUAGAAACUUGUCACAUUAUUCCAGUUUUAAAGCAGCUGCAUUGGUUAUCAGAUAGGGCUAGAAUUUUAAAAUAUUUAGUUUUUACACGUUGCUUUCUCUAAUGUAGCUCCAGCAUAUAUAACUGAUCUGGUAAAAAAUCAUAACUUUUACUGAAAAUUGCCAUUAUAGCAGGGUAAAAAAAUAUAUGGUGACAUGUAAUUUUGUAUAGCUUCACUGUUGGAGUAGAACAAGGUGUCAAUUUACUGAAGGCAGAUAGAAACAGAAAUCUCUUAUAAGGAAUUAAACACACAUUUUUAAAGAUGUUUUAUUGCUGAAUUUUGUUCAAUUUUUAAAAUAUACAUUAUGUAAGGGAAGUAUUGGGUCUUUUAAUUACUGCUUAGUCAAACGUUUUAACAUUUAUAAUUAAUAUAAUAUAUAUAACUGUAAUAUAUAAA